GAUGAACGCUGGCGGCGUGCCUAAUACAUGCAAGUCGAGCGAACGGACGAGAAGCUUGCUUCUCUGAUGUUAGCGGCGGACGGGUGAGUAACACGUGGAUAACCUACCUAUAAGACUGGGAUAACUUCGGGAAACCGUAGCUAAUACCGGAUAAUAUUUUGAACCGCAUGGUUCAAAAGUGAAAGACGGUCUUGCUGUCACUUAUAGAUGGAUCCGCGCUGCAUUAGCUAGUUGGUAAGGUAACGGCUUACCAAGGCAACGAUGCAUAGCCGACCUGAGAGGGUGAUCGGCCACACUGGAACUGAGACACGGUCCAGACUCCUACGGGAGGCAGCAGUAGGGAAUCUUGCGCAAUGGGCGAAAGCCUGACGGGGCAACGCCGCGUGAGUGAUGAAGGUCUUCGGAUCGUAAAACUCUGUUAUUAGGGAAGAACAUAUGUGUAAGUAACUGUGCACAUCUUGACGGUACCUAAUCAGAAAGCCACGGCUAACUACGUG
rnacentral:rRNA from 1 species